rnacentral:rRNA from 1 species
GUUAGGAAUAUUGGACAAUGGGCGAAAGCCUGAUCCAGCCAUGCCGCGUGAACGAUGAAGGCCUUCGGGUUGUAAAGUUCUUUAGCCGAUGAUUAUAAUGACUGUAGUCGGAAAAUAAGCCCCGGCUAACUUCGUGCCAGCAGCCGCGGUAAUACGAAGGGGGCGAGCGUUAUUCGGAAUCACUGGGCGUAAAGCGUGCGUAGGCGGUUUUGUAAGUGAGGAGUGAAAGCACAGGGCUCAAACUUGGAAUUGCUCUUAAAACUGCAAGGCUCGAAUCUCGGAGAGGAUAGUGGAAUUUCCAGUGUAUCAGUGAAAUGCGUAGAUAUUGGAAGGAACACCAGUGGCGUAAGCGGCUAUCUGGACGAGUAUUGACGCUGAGGCACGAAAGCGUGGGGAUCAAACAGGAUUAGAAACCCGUGUAGUCC